CAGCAGUUAAGGUACAAGCAUUAGGGAAAAUGGAUUUCAUUUGCUGUCCCGGGCUGGUGCGGGGGUGGUGGGAGCGGUUACUGAGGGAGGACCUUCAGAUGACUGAUGUGUUUUUGGAGAACCGCAGAACUGCUGGCUGGCGUAGAGAGAGCAGGGUUGCAAUGUUGUGCAAUGCUGUUUGUCUGUGUGAAGCUGGCAUGGCCCCCGUUUCUCUGCUCCUCUGCAUCUGGUCGUCAUUACGUAAGGAGGGGAGGGUAUAAAGCAGGGUGCUGACGGGGCUGGGCCCCAGUGCCUGGACCAUCAUGGAGGCUGCUCUUUGGGUGUGCCUAAGUUUUCUCUGUCUGCAGGGCAGCUUGCUCCAGUUCACACAUGGUGCAGACUGUACUGGGACAUCACAGGGGAAGAACUGUGUCAGCGGGCAGACCACCGGAGGAAAGAUGUGGCUAGAUGACAUGCCAUCGGAUGUGCCAUUGGACAGACAGAAGAGACAGUUGGGAAGGAACUCCCUCCUUCCUGGGUCCUUCUCAGCCAAGGGCUUCCCCAACACACUCAUCAAUGUUCAGACAGAGCGGGCCAGGAGACACCUAGGCCAGUCUGGGACUAAGAAGAACAAGUAUAAAUCCAGAGUGGGAUCCUUCUCUCUCCUCAGCAACAACAACCCCAGUGCCUCCCUACAGGUAACCAGAGUACGGAGGCAGGUGCAGAAUGAGAGGAAGAAGGCGAAGCCAAAAGGACGACCCGGAGCGUAUUCCUUAAUUUUACGACCCGCCGCACCCCAAACAAUCCCCCUGAGUAAAUCAAUCGACUAUCCAAUCAAUCAAACUUUUUUGUCCCCAGAGCUAAAUUCUGUUUGCAAGCAGGGUAAAAAUGUUAAGAAUACAGAGUUCAUGCAAAACAGUUAA
rnacentral:lncRNA from 8 species